GACCAAAUGCAUUAGAUGAAUGAUGAAUCUGAAAUUUUUACAAGGGUAUAUCGUAUUUGAAGCUUGCUAAUGAAAGAACCUAAGUGAUUGUAUGGAUGUUCAGAUAAAGAGAUGAGCUGCAGGAAAACAAAAAACCAAUAUGCAGUCACUGCUAUCAUCAUUACAAGAUGUAUCUCUUUGACAUAAAUUUUGUAUUGCUAAUAUAUCAUUUCUCUUUAGAAUUUUGGAAUGUUCCUUUUCUACCCUAUGUUCUGACUUGCAUUCUUAGUUAUUACUCUAAUGGAAAAUAUAAAGGAAGUGGAGACAAUAAGUUUUCUGGUUUUGUUUUUAACCAGAUAGUCAAGAAUGAAA